UUACAGCCAUAUCAUGUUGAAACAUUGGUUCCCAUGCGAUCACUGAAGUUAAGCAGCAUUCAGCUUGGUCACUACCGAGAUGGGUGAUUGCUUGGGAAUACUUGGUGCUGUAU